AGCAGCCGCGGUAAUUCCAGCUCCAAUAGCGUAUAUUAAAGUUGCUGCAGUUAAAAGGCUCGUAGUUGAAUUUCGGGACCAUCAUGUCGGUCGUGCCUCGGUACGUACUGGCAUUGUUGGUUUCUCCCUUCUGACGAACCAUGAUGUCAUUUAUUUGGUGUCAUGGGAAAUCAGGACUGUUACUUUGAAAAAUUAGAGUGUUUAAAGCAGGCUCGCGCUUGAAUACAUUAGCAUGGAAUAAUGAAAUAGGACGUUUGAUUCUAUUUUGUUGGUUUCUAGGAUCGACGUAAUGAUUAAUAGGGAUAGUUGGGGGCAUUAGUAUUCAAUUGUCAGAGGUGAAAUUCUUGGAUUUAUUGAAGACUAACUACUGCGAAAGCAUUUGCCAAGGAUGUUUUCAUUAAUCAAGAACGAAAGUUAGGGGAUCGAAGACGAUCAGAUACCGUCGUAGUCUUAACCAUAAACUAUGCCGAC
rnacentral:rRNA from 1 species